rnacentral:rRNA from 1 species
AUUGAACGCUGGCGGAAUGCUUUACACAUGCAAGUCGAACGGCAGCACGGACUUCGGUCUGGUGGCGAGUGGCGAACGGGUGAGUAAUGUAUCGGAACGUGCCCAGUCGUGGGGGAUAACGUAGUGAAAAUUACGCUAAUACCGCAUACGAUCUAUGGAUGAAAGCGGGGGAUCGCAAGACCUCGCGCGAUUGGAGCGGCCGAUAUCAGAUUAGGUAGUUGGUGGGGUAAAGGCCCACCAAGCCAACGAUCUGUAGCUGGUCUGAGAGGACGGCGAGCCACACGGGAACUGAGACACGGUCCAGACUCCUACGGGAGGCAGCAGUGGGGAAUUUUGGACAAUGGGCGAAAGCCUGAUCCAGCCAUUCCGCGUGCAGGAUGAAGGCCCUCGGGUUGUAAACUGCUUUUGUACAGAACGAAGAGGUUUCUACUAAUACUAGGAGCUCAUGACGGUACUGUAAGAAUAAGCACCGGCUAACUACGUGCCAGCCGCCGCCGUAA